rnacentral:misc_RNA from 1 species
GAUGAAGAACGUAGCGAAAUGCGAUAAGUAAUGUGAAUUGCAGAAUUCAGUGAAUCAUCGAAUCUUUGAACGCACAUCGCGCCCCCUGGUAUUCCGGGGGGCAUGCCUGUCCGAGCGUCAUUACAACCCUCAAGCUCUGCUUGGUGUUGGGCCCCGCCGCCCCGGCGGGCCCUAAAGUCAGUGGCGGUGCCAUCCGGCUCCGAGCGUAGUAAUUCUUCUCGCUCUGGAGGUCCGGUUGUGUGCUUGCCAUCAACCCCCAAUUUUUUUCAGGUUGACCUCGGAUCAGGUAGGGAUACCCGCUGAACUUAAGCAUAUCAAUAAGCGGAGGA